UGGGAAUUUUGGACAAUGGGCGAAAGCCUGAUCCAGCAAUGCCGCGUGUGUGAAGAAGGCCUUCGGGUUGUAAAGCACUUUUGUCCGGAAAGAAAUCCUUGGCUCUAAUACAGUCGGGGGAUGACGGUACCGGAAGAAUAAGCACCGGCUAACUACGUGCCAGCAGCCGCGGUAAUACGUAGGGUGCAAGCGUUAAUCGUAAUUACUGGGCGUAAAGCGUGCGCAGGCGGUUUGCUAAGACCGAUGUGAAAUCCCCGGGCUCAACCUGGGAACUGCAUUGGUGACUGGCAGGCUAGAGUAUGGCAGAGGGGGGUAGAAUUCCACGUGUAGCAGUGAAAUGCGUAGAGAUGUGGAGGAAUACCGAUGGCGAAGGCAGCCCCCUGGGCCAAUACUGACGCUCAUGCACGAAAGCGUGGGGAGCAAACAGGAUUAGAUACCCUGGUAGUCCACGCCCUAAANGAUGUCAACUAGUUGUUGGGGAUUCAUUUUCCUUAGUAACGUAGCUAACGCGUGAAGUUGACCGCCUGGGGAGUACGGUCGCAAGAUUAAAACUCAAAGAAUU
rnacentral:rRNA from 1 species